rnacentral:rRNA from 1 species
UACGAAGGGGGCUAGCGUUGCUCGGAAUCACUGGGCGUAAAGCGCACGUAGGCGGCUUUGCAAGUCGGAUGUGAAAUCCCUCGGCUUAACCAAGGAAGUGCAUCCGAAACUGCAGAGCUUGAGUACUUAAGAGGAUCGCGGAAUUCCCGGUGUAGAGGUGAAAUUCGUAGAUAUCGGGAGGAACACCAGUGGCGAAGGCGGCGAUCUGGGAAGAUACUGACGCUGAGGUGCGAAAGCGUGGGGAGCAAACAGG